UCUUUGUUAGUAUAUCGGUUAGUACACGCGCUUGUCAUGACAUGGAUACAUUCAUACGCGCGAAAGCUGGGUUCGAUUCCCAGACAGAGAG